UUAUUUUAGCGGCGGACGGGUGAGUAACGUGUGGGUAACCUGCCUUUUACUGGGGAAUAAUCACUGGAAACGGUGACUAAUACCGCAUACGGGUUCUUGGAAGGCAUCUUCUGAGAAAGAAAGGAUUUAUUCGGUAAAAGAUGGGCCCGCAUCUGAUUAGCUAGUUGGUGAGAUAACAGCCCACCAAGGCGACGAUCAGUAGCCGACCUGAGAGGGUGACCGGCCACAUUGGGACUGAGACACGGCCCAAACUCCUACGGAAGGCAGCAG
rnacentral:rRNA from 1 species